UCAGUCUCAACUCUAAGAACCAUUAAAUCAUUAAUUAAUGUCCUUAAGAAGUUUUUUUAUCCUUUUUAGUAAAGAAAAAAAGCGUUUAUUUGAUGCACUUGUCACUGGUAAUGUUAACAUUAUAGAUAAUAUUUUUGUGGUUUCAGGAAAUGCGAAGUAGCUUUAAAUGUAAUUAUUCAAAAUAUACAGCACAGUAUAAAAGUUACAAAAACCUUUCAUUUUUUUUUGUUGGUUUUUAAAUAACUGUAACUUUUUAAUAGUUUAUAAUUCAAAAAACUCUUGUGAUAUUUUCUCCAAAAUAUUGUUCUCUAUAAAUUUUAUAAUAGGUACUUUUACUUUAAAAUAAUAAUUAAGCUAGUUUUACUUAUUCUGCAUAAGCAUUGUUUUUGCAUGUUAUCUGGUAGUUGGACUGA